rnacentral:misc_RNA from 1 species
UCUCCGUAGGUGAACCUGCGGAGGGAUCAUUACUGAGUGAGGGCUUCGGUCCGACCUCCAACCCUUUGUGUGAACCAAACUUGUUGCUUCGGGGGCGACCCUGCCGUUCGCGGCGUGGGGCCCCCGGAGCCCAUCAAACCCUGCGUAACUAAGUCGUCGGAGUUUAAACAAAUUAAACAAAACUUUCAACAACGGAUCUCUUGGUUCGGGCAUCGAUGAAGAACGCAGC